AUAUUUACCUGUCAGGGGAGACAGCAUGAUCAGGCAGGUCGUUUUGCCAGGGUGAGGGUCAUCCUUUGCACUCCAGGUGUGCUGACCCCUGCAAUUUCCCCAAAUGUGGGAAACUCAACUACAUAAUUCAUGGUGGUGGGGGACUGCAUUCACGCUCUCCUCUG
rfam:Picoides pubescens contig63132, whole genome shotgun sequence.